AUCUAAUGAAAAGACUUCGUUAAAUAUUUGAAAUAGUAUUUGCUGAGGUAUUUCAAUGUAUGAUGCUUUAGUCUGCCAAAUUCCUUGCUGAUAUGUACUGCUAUAUUUUCACUGGGUUCUAACUCGAAGUGGCCUUUCUCUGGAGCACAAACUUCCUGGUGAAGAUGUUACAUUAGGCGAAGCUUUGAUGGCCUAACUAUUAUCUAUGUUAAGCAGGUACUUGACUUAAUAAGCAAGGGUGGGAUAAAGGGGAUUGCCCACAUCACAGGUGGUGGUUUCACAGAAAAUAUACCUUGAGUGUUUCCAAAAGGGCUUGGUGCUGUCAUCCAUAAUAACUCCUGGGAAGUACCAAGUGUGUUAAUUGGAUUCAAGAGGUAAAAUGUAUUCUUUGUGUUGGAAAUAUUGAGAAAAGAUGAAGUGAUUGUUGGCAGAGUACUUCUGUCAUCCUCAUAGUUUUUUUUUUCAUUGUCUGGUUUUCUUCGACCACCUAUAUAUUUUUCUUGAAAACAUAAAUUUUUUUUUUCUUACUUUUUAAUUAGGCAGGAAAAAUCGAGGAUGCUGAGAUGAGGCGGACUUUUAACAUGGGCAUUGGGAUGGUUCUAGUUGUGAGCAAGGAAGCAUCUUAUAGAAUACUUGAGAGCGGAAAUGGAGCUUAUAAAAGCAUACUGGAUUGGUGAGGUUGUAAGUGGUGAAGGAGUGAGCUACCAUUAAAUUGUUGUAUCAUUAGUGUUGUAUGCUGGGUUUUUUUUUUUUUUUUUUUUGGUGAAAGUUAUGCUGGUUUUUCGUUUGCAUUAGAUGAGAUGAAUUAUAUACUGAGUUGCAGCAUAAAUUUCUAUUGUAAUUCAUGGAUGAAGGAAUUGGUCACAUCAAAGCUGUUUUGUAGGACUUCAUGACUUUUAAUUACCAACAAUUAGAGGUUUUGGUUGAUGGCUGUGAGAUUAAUUAUAUAGCGAGUUGCAGCAUAAAUUUCUGUUGUAAUUCAUGGAUGAAGGAAUUGUUCACAUCUAAA